AACGAACGCUGGCGGCAGGCCUAACACAUGCAAGUCGAACGCCCUAGCAAUAGGGAGUGGCAGACGGGUGAGUAACGCGUGGGAACCUUCCCUAUAGUACGGAAUAUACCAGGGAAACUUGGAGCAAUACCGUAUACGCCCGAAAGGGGAAAGAUUUAUCGCUAUAGGAUGGGCCCGCGUUGGAUUAGCUAGUUGGUGAGGUAAUGGCUCACCAAGGCGACGAUCCAUAGCUGGUCUGAGAGGAUGAUUAGCCACACUGGGACUGAGACACGGCCCAGACUCCUACGGGAGGCAGCAGUGGGGAAUAUUGGGCAAUGGGCGCAAGCCUGAUCCAGCCAUGCCGCGUGAGUGACGAAGGUCUUCGGAUUGUAAAGCUCUUUUGGCGGGGACGAUAAUGACGGUACCCGCAGAAUAAGCCCCGGCUAACUUCGUGCCAGCCGCCGCAGUAAGAC
rnacentral:rRNA from 1 species